rnacentral:lncRNA from 1 species
CCAUUUAUUAGCCCUGGUGGAUUUUACCAGAUAUACCUACGGGCAUGAGUAUAUUUCUUUCCCUGGACAUAACUAUUUUACGGGGUAAUUCUUAUAUAUUUAUAUAUAGAUCGAGAAAGAAAGUACAGUAUAUUAAACAACAAAAGAUAAAUUUUAAGAGAAAUACCCGUACCUAUUCUUUCAUAACAGCAGCAAACAGUUUAAAACACCUAUUCUUUCACGAUAGCAGCAAACAGUUCACUUUAUUAAUGGCUUCCAACAAAACACAGGAAAAUAUUACAUUUCCUACAUGGCUAUAUCUCAAAUCACUCACUACCUCCCUACCUGAGUCCACCAUUAGAAGUUUCAAACUGACUAUAAUAGUUGAAAGAAAAAACACAACAUAAACAUUACUUCAAGAUGAAACUGCAGUCUUUGUCUGUGUUAGCUAGCUGCAAGGUUUUAAAUCGCAGUUGUGCCAUAAAAUGAUUUUUAGGCAAAUAUGAACGAUGUGAUUACACUUGUGAUUAUGUUGCAGACUGUUUUUUAAAACCUUUUGAAGCUGAAUAACCAGUGUGCAUCUAUAUGUGAAUUGAACCUGGAAGAAAGGCUUUGCCUUCCCUAAGCCUUCAUGAAUUGCCUUCUGACACUCUCGCUUUAGAAGGAGAGUAGCAUAAUACUCAAGAACCAAACUUCUUUUUCAUCUUCCUCUUCACUUUCUUCUUUCUCCAUUACUUAGCUUAUACAGCAGUUGGAAUGAAUCACAUUGGUGGUUUCAAUUCUUGCAAACAUUCAAGCAUAUAUACAAACACUUCAAAGGCACAGACACGUGGAAGCAUUACCUUCAAUUUAUAAGCAAGGAAUAGAGAAAAGCGACAAAAAAAAACAGAUAAGCAUAGGCAUUAAAAAAAGAAUCAAAUCACAUUUCCACAUUUCCAUCCAUCAAAAAAUAUUCUAUUAAACACACUGAAGCAUAUUAUUGUUCUUCUGCUUUAAAGAAAAAUUCCGUUGAGGCUGCCCAUUUGAAAGAGGGUUGAAAAAUAGGUAAUAUAAUGGUUAUAAUAAUAAAAGGUGGUAGGUUUAAAGUGGUGAUAGAGACAAAAGAGGCAAGUGUAAAGAGAGAAUAGGGUUGUGGAUGAGCACUUGCAUAUAAGAAAUGUAGCAGAGUGGGUUGGCACCAUUGAAUUGGGGUGCGUGCAUGAGAAGAUAAGUGCUGAUAAAAUAGCCAUUAAUGGUUCAGUGGGCUUACCAAAUUCGGCCAUGAGUGUACUAUAACUAAAGAAAAACCAAUACUCUACUUUUUCUUAUUCUUCUUUAUAACGAUGAUAACAAUAUAAUAAAGAUACUUACAUAUAAUUUUUUUAUAAUAUCUAAACAUUGUUUAUGUGUCAUUAUAUGAUUGAUUCAUCAUGAUAUUUAAAAUUAUUAUUAUUGAUUGUGAAAUAAUUUUAGAUCAAUCACAUAAUACCAUGUAAAUGAUGUUCAAAUGUUAUAAAAGAAAUGUUUGUCUAAAUAUAUUUUAUCUACUUAUAUAACCUCAGAUCAUAUCCCUCAAUUUAGCCUAUGCCAUCUUUCCGUACCAAUGAUUCAAACCCCUCCUUAUAAAAUAACUCACCUUAUUAGGUUCAGGUAGCUAUGAAGAACCUAUUCAAUUCUCAUUUAUUUUUUAAGUUUAUUUUACUCCAUUUCUUUCAAAUAAGUAUAUAUUUCUCAAUUUUAAAUGUAAUUUAAUUAGUU